GCCCAGACUCCUACGGGAGGCAGCAGUGGGGAAUAUUGCACAAUGGGGGAAACCCUGAUGCAGCAACGCCGCGUGAGUGAAGAAGUAUUUCGGUAUGUAAAGCUCUAUCAGCAGGGAAGAAAAUGACAGUACCUGACUAAGAAGCCCCGGCUAACUACGUGCCAGCAGCCGCGGUAAUACGUAGGGGGCAGGCGUUAUCCGGAUUUACUGGGUGUAAAGGGAGCGUAGACGGCUGUGCAAGUCAGAAGUGAAAGCCCGGGGCUCAACCGCGGGACUGCUUUUGAAACUGUGUAGCUGGAGUGCAGGAGAGGUAAGUGGAAUUCCUAGUGUAGCGGUGAAAUGCGUAGAUAUUAGGAGGAACACCGGUGGCGAAGGCGGCUUGCUGGACGGUAACUGACGUUGAGGCUCGAAAGCGUGGGGAGCAAACAGGAUUAGAUACCCCUGUA
rnacentral:rRNA from 1 species